rnacentral:rRNA from 1 species
AACGUAGGAGGCGAACGUUAUCCGGAAUUACUGGGCGUAAAGCGCACGCAGGCGGCUUCGUAAGUCCAACGUGAAAGCUCCCGGCUUAACCGGGAGAGGUCGUUGGAUACUGCGAGGCUCGAGGUUAGGAGAGGGAAGUGGAAUUCCCGGUGUAGUGGUGGAAUACGUAGAUAUCGGGAGGAACUCCAGUGGCGAAGGCGACUUCCUGGCCUACACCUGACGCUGAGGUGCGAAAGCGUGGGGAGCAAACAGG